AGAGAGGAGGACUCUUGUGAGAACACUUUCUCUAUGUGAGAACACUUUUUUAUGUGAGAACAAAUUUGAACCUUUGGAUCUAAUCUAACCAUCCUAAAUACACUUAUGAGUAAUGACAUUUUUGUAAUUUAGGUUUAUCCUUACUCCCCUUCCUUCUUCCCACAAACUUUAGCUUUCACGUCAUUUGUAAUUUAGCUUUCUCUCUGUAGGUUUUACACAACUUUCUCUCUCCUCUAUGGCUUCAUUCAUGGAGUAAUUUUCAAAGUUUUAGUUCGAUUUUUUGCAGAUUCCACACUAUUCUUUCCAUAAUUCAACAGAUAUGAAAGUUGGAUCUUAUUCAUCAGCUCUUGAAUCAGAUGUAGUUGUGAAUAGUGAUCAAUCAGUUCCUAUAGAUGUAGUUACGCAUAACUGAAGAUAUUGAAUCAGGUGAAAUUCCUUUAUUUAUUAUUUAUAGUCUUUAAGAUCAUAUUCUUUAUUAUUUAUAUAAGAUCAUUUUACCUUAAGGAUAUUAUUAUUCUAAUAAUAAUUAUGAUAUGUAUAUUAAAUAUAUAUGUUGGGAAAUAUUAUCUAUGUUUCUUUGCGGCAACAACUUUUUCUAAUGCAAAUAUGUGUCGUACUCCUCAAGUAGUUCCCAUGUUAAGUCCUGGAGGGACAAGAUUUGGAUUCCUUGUUGCCCCAAUGAGUUGAUACCUUUUAUAGGGAUGAAAUUUUCUAGUACCGAUGAGGGUUUAGCUUUCUAUAAAGCAUAUGCAGCUGUUGCUGGUUUUAAUACUAGGAAAUCAACCAUUACCAAAAAGAGAAAAGAGAAUAUUGUGGCUUUUCAAUAUAUUGUAUGCAAUAAAGCCGACUAUAAGGAGAAACGAAAGUCAAAGGUUGAUGAUGUUUCCAAGGGUAAAGAGGAUGAAACUAAAGAAGUUAAAACUAGUAGAAGAAGGUUGAUCACUCGUGUUGGUUGCAAUGCUUAAAUGGUUUUGAAAUAUUGUAAUGGUGGAAGUUACAUUGUUACAAUAUUUCGAGAGGCUCAUAAUCAUCCUCUUUACGCUCCAAGUUGUAAUGAAUUUCAAAGAAGGGAGAAAAAUGAACAUUCUACACCAGAAGAUGAUUGUUUAUAAUUCAAAGGUGAACAUUGGUCCUGUGAAAACAUAUAGAAUGAUGAAGGAAUAUGUUGGUGGAUAUGAAAGGUUUGUGAAUCAUGUCAAUGCUCUUUGGUGUAAUCCCUUUGAAUUCCAUAUUCGAAGCUGCGAUCCAUCCUACAUUGGGGAAUGAAGAGAAGCCCCACUAGGGCUCCAACUCGCCUCACCUGAUUUAUUCCGAGUGUAUUACCAGUCAGAGAGGGGGAGCGCUUCCGGUCCGGUCCGAUUUUGGACCGGUUGGACCGGAAUUUGUAUUUUUUAAUUCAAAAAAAAUCUUUCUUAAUAAGGUUUAAACAUUUUAACAAUUCAAUAGAUUAAAAACUAAUAAUACGAAAAGCAAUAAUCUCAAAGGCAAUAAAGAUGAGGUUUUAACUUUAUAACUUUUCUCAAUUUUUAACUUUUAUUAACAUUCAGACCUCCUUGUACAACAAAAAAAUCCGGUCCUCCGGUCUGGACCGGAGAAUUUUAGGUUUGGACCUGACCGGACUGGAGAACCGGAAUCCCAAGUUUUCAUGAACCGGAGACCGGAUCGGAAUUUUUCGGUCCAGUCUGGUCUCGGUCAAAAUUUCAGUUCCGUUCCAACACUGCACACCCCUACCGGACGUGCCUUUGCCAGCUUUUUAGAAAAUGUGUUGUAAAAGAUUUCUUUUAUCCUUUAAUUCCAGAAAAUAUGAUUUUACGGGAUAAAAUCUGAUUUUAACUAUAAAAAAUAUCUUUUCAAAAUAUUUAUUUAUUAAAAUAAAUCAAGUAAUUAUUGUUAAAAAAUUGAUUGGACUUGUCAAAGAAUUGAGCUCAAAAUAAAAUUAUAUAUCAUGAAUAAUUAAUUGCCCUUUAAAAUAGGACUUUAACGCUUUUUGAAAUGAAUGACUUUUUAGAUUGCUAUGCCCUUGAACAAGACUAAUUAAGACCAUUUUAUGUUUCAUCAUCGGAUCCUUAAAUGGGCAGAUACGAUUAUGUGUCUACACCCACAUGCUAUUAAUAUUCUUCAUUCUUGGAGGUAAAAAACUGACUUCCUAAAUUCAGUUUGCUUCCAGAGAAUUGAGUUCAUUCUGUGUUGUUAUUAUUCAUCCUUCAUCUUAAGAUGCUUCUCCAAAGUGCAUUCGCUAUCUAACCUUCAACACAUUGUUUAGAGUAGUGAGGUACUCUUCAUUGUUUUCCUUGAUUGUUUGAGGUCUUGCAUAGCAACACGACUAACAAAAGUGAUACGUUCUUGAUUAUUCUUACUUGGAAUGUCAUAUACAUAGUUCUUGAAUCUACACGGAACCUCCUUGCCCCUAAUAGACCUUCUUAGACUUGUCUUUUCUACUUUAUUAUGGCUGAUAGGAUGAUUCCUUAUUAUUAACAUCACUAAGAUUUUCAAGUUGUAUUGGCUUAAUUUCACCUGCUUUCUAGUCAUCUAACUCAUUCAAAAUGUUAGAUAAAUCAUCAAAAGAUAUGUCACCUCCAGAGUUCGAUAAAGAGUUUCUUGUGUCCAUCUCAAAAGAAGAGUUCUCGUUUUCCUUCCUUAGAAGAAAGGGAGGUACUUUUUCUUAGAUACAACAUCCCUACUCACAAACACUUGUGGAAAAAAUCUUAAAUGACACAAGUAAACUGAUCCAGUUCUUUUAAAAUCGUAUCAGUUAAUGUUGGUUUUUUGGAGGGAAAUAUGAUUUAAUUAACUGAUGGAGUCUAUAUAAGGAAUUGGAUCAGUCGAGCUUGGUCUUUUAUAUAAACUUGCGACCCACUACAUUCUCUCCACUCAAACUCGUUCACUCUCAUCCUCCCACUCCUUUCAUCCCCCCCUCUAACAAACCCUAACCAUACAUCUCUUACCCGCCCUCCUCCAUCUAACAAACCCAACCUUCCCUCUCUCAUUCUCUCUCCUCUGCCAUCCUCCCCCUCCUUUCUCACCAAUCUAUCGCUCAACCACCAUCUUAAUUUCCACCACCCAUGCUCCAAUUUUCAACGAAGAACAAAGGCUUGUCGCUAUGCUGCGUAACUACCACCCCAAUCUCGAAGCAUGAUUUUUUCUCCGUCACAAGACUGACUCGUCAUAGAGGCGAAUUUUGAAAUUAAACUCGAUUCCACCAAUUCUUUGCUCGUUUGGAUCUAGGGUUCCAAGUGUUUCAUUUUUUAUUAAUAAUUUCAAUAUUUUAAUUUAGAUAGUUUAUUAAUUCAUGUUUUUACGAUUUAUUUCGAAAGUAUUUUAUUUUAAUAAUUUCAAGAUUGUAAUUGUUUUCUAAUUUCGCUAGUUAUUAUUUUUUUAUUUUCUGGUCCAUUUUUGGUUUUAUGUGUGUGUAAUUAUUUUUGUAAUUGCUGGUUAUUUUUGUGUUUAAUUCAUGUAAUUGUUUGUGUAAUAUUUGGUUAUUAAUCCGUGUAAUAAUGUUUAGUUUCAUAUUUAUUUGGAUUUGGAUCCUUGUGUGUGUUGGAAUUGAGUUGGAACUAUGUUGGAAUGUCUCCUCUAUGCACAUUGUA